GGCCCAGAUCGUUUACCGUGAAAAAAUUAGAGUGUUCAAAGCAGGCAGAUCCAAUUUUCUGCCACCGAAUACAUUAGCAUGGGAUAAUGGAAUAGGACCCUGUCCUCCUAUUUUCAGUUGGUUUGCCGCGAGGACCAGGGUAAUGAUUAAUAGGGAUAGUUGGGGGCAUUAAUAUUUAAUUGUCAGAGGUGAAAUUCUUGGAUUUAUGAAAGAUUAACUUCUGCGAAAGCAUCUGCCAAGGAUGUUUUCAUUAAUCAAGAACGAAAGUUAGGGGAUCGAAGACGAUCAGAUACCGUCGUAGUCUUAACCAUAAACGAUGCCGACCAGCGAUUAGGAGACGUUGAAUACAAAACACCACCAUCGGCGCGAUCGUCCUUGGCGUCGGUCUUUCGGGGCCGGCGCGGGGGCGGUUUAGCCCGGUGGCACCGGUGAAUGACUCCCCUAGCAGCUUGUGAGA
rnacentral:rRNA from 1 species